UCCUCGGUAGCUCAGUCGUAGAGCAGUUGGCUGUUAACCUACAGGUCGUAGGUUCGAAUCCUACCUGAGGAG